rnacentral:tRNA from 1 species
GGAGAGGUAUGCAAACGGUUAUAAGCAAGCGGUUUUGAAAGCCGAUGAGCCGAAAGGUCUGGGGGUUCGAAUCCCUCCCUCUCCG